AAAAACAUGUUUAUUUGAAGUUAUAAAUGAUUUGGCCUGCCCCCUGAUUAUUAAUUUAAAGGGCCGCAGUAUUAUAACUGUGCAAAGGUAGCAUAAUCAUUAGGUUUUUAAUUGGAAUCUUGUAUGAAUGGUCGGACAAAAGAGGAGCUCUCUUUAUAUUAAAUUUUGAACUUAACUUUUAAGUGAAAAGGCUUAAAUAUACUAAAGGGACGAUAAGACCCUAUAAAACUUUACAUUAUAAUUAUAUUUUAGUAAAUUUAUAAAUAAAGAUUUAAUUUAAUUAUUUGUUAGGCUGGGGAGGCAUAAAUAAAUAUUAUUUAAACUGUUUGAUUAAUUAUACAUUUAUUAAUGGUAAUAUAAAAGAUCCUUUAUUAAGAUUAAUAAAUUAAGUUACUUUAGGGAUAACAGCGUAAUUUCUUUUGAGAGUUCUUAUCGAAAAAGAAGAUUGCGACCUCGAUGUUGAAUUAAAAUAUUCUAUAUGGUGAAGAGGUUAUAUAAGAAGGUCUGUUCGACCUUUAAAAUUUUACAUGAUUUGAGUUCAAACCGGUGUGAGCCAGGUU
rnacentral:rRNA from 1 species